AACAAACGCUGGCGGCGUGCCUAAUACAUGCAAGUCGAACGGGGAAAGCUUUCGGGUGAGUACUAGUGGCGCACGGGUGAGUAACGCGUGGAUAAUCUGCCUUAGAGUGGGGGAUAACUAGUCGAAAGAUUAGCUAAUACCGCAUAAGACCACAAGAGCUGCGGUUCAAGGGGUCAAAGGUUUUUCGCUCUAAGAUGAGUCCGCGUAAGAUUAGCUAGUUGGUAGGGUAACGGCCUACCAAGGCGACGAUCUUUAACUGGUCUGAGGGGAUGAUCAGUCACACUGGAACUGAGACACGGUCCAGACUCCUACGGGAGGCAGCGGUAGGGAAUAUUGCACAAUGGAGGAAACUCUGAUGCAGCGACGCCGCGUGAGUGAUGAAGGCCUUCGGGUCGUAAAGCUCUGUCGCAGGGGAAUAACACAAUGAAGGUACCCUGUAAGAAAGGAUCGGCUAACUUCGUGCCAGCAGCCGCCGUAAGAC
rnacentral:rRNA from 1 species